ensembl:snRNA
AAAAAGGGCUUCUGUCGUGAGUGGCACACGUGGGGCGGCUCGUUUCCUCUACGUGAGGAAUCGACAUCAAAAUAAGCAAAAUAUAUAUGUAAUAAGUGUAUAUGUAUAUGUUAAGUAUAUUAUAUUAUGUA